rnacentral:rRNA from 1 species
UACGUAGGGCGCAAGCGUUGUCCGGAAUUAUUGGGCGUAAAGAGCUCGUAGGCGGCUUGUCACGUCGGGUGUGAAAGCCCGGGGCUUAACCCCGGGUCUGCAUUCGAUACGGGCAGGCUAGAGUGUGGUAGGGGAGUCUGGAAUUCCUGGUGUAGCGGUGAAAUGCGCAGAUAUCAGGAGGAACACCGGUGGCGAAGGCGGGACUCUGGGCCGAUACUGACGCUGAGGAGCGAAAGCGUGGGGAGCAAACAGG